CCUAUCAGGUAGUAGUGGGUGUAACGUACCUACUAGCCGACAACGGGUACGGGUUGUGAGAGCAAGAGCCCGGAGAUGGAUUCUGAGACAUGAAUCCAGGCCCUACGGGGCGCAGCAGGCGCGAAAACUUUACAAUGCGGGAAACCGUGAUAAGGGGACACCGAGUGUCAGCAUCAUAUGCUGGCUGUCCGGGUGUGUAAAAUACACCUGUUAGCAAGGGCCGGGCAAGACCGGUGCCAGCCGCCGCGGUAACACCGGCGGCCCGAGUGGUGAUCGUGAUUAUUGGGUCUAAAGGGUCCGUAGCCGGUUUGGUCAGUCCUCCGGGAAAUCUGACAGCUCAACUGUUAGGCUUUCGGGGGAUACUGCCAGACUUGGAAUCGGGAGAGGUAAGAGGUACUACAGGGGUAGGAGUGAAAUCUUGUAAUCCCUGUGGGACCACCUGUGGCGAAGGCGUCUUACCAGAACGGGUUCGACGGUGAGGGACGAAAGCUGGGGGCACGAACCGGAUUAGAUACCCGGGUAGUCCCAGCCGUAAACGAUGCUCGCUAGGUGUCAGGCAUGGCGCGACCGUGUCUGGUGCCGCAGGGAAGCCGUGAAGCGAGCCACCUGGGAAGUACGGCCGCAAGGCUGAAACUUAAAGGAAUUGGCGGGGGAGCACA
rnacentral:rRNA from 1 species